rnacentral:rRNA from 1 species
GAUGAACGCUGGCGGCGUGCUUAACACAUGCAAGUCGAACGGAAAGGCCCAAGCUUGCUUGGGUACUCGAGUGGCGAACGGGUGAGUAACACGUGGGUGAUCUGCCCUGCACUUCGGGAUAAGCCUGGGAAACUGGGUCUAAUACCGGAUAGGACCACUUCUUGGAUGUUGUGGUGGAAAGUUUUUUCGGUGUGGGAUGAGCUCGCGGCCUAUCAGCUUGUUGGUGGGGUAAUGGCCUACCAAGGCGUCGACGGGUAGCCGGCCUGAGAGGGUGUACGGCCACAUUGGGACUGAGAUACGGCCCAGACUCCUACGGGAGGCAGCAGGGGGGAAUAUUGCACAAUGGGCGCAAGCCUGAUGCAGCGACGCCGCGUGGGGGAUGACGGCCUUCGGGUUGUAAACUCCUUUCGCUAGGGACGAAGCGUUUUGUGACGGUACCUGGAGAAGAAGCACCGGCUAACUACGUG